rnacentral:rRNA from 1 species
AUUGAACGCUGGCGGCAGGCCUAACACAUGCAAGUCGGACGAGUGGCGGACGGGUGAGUAAUGUCUGGGAAGCUGCCCGAUGGCGGGGGAUAACUACUGGAAACGGUAGCUAAUACCGCAUACCAUCGGAUGUGCCCCGAUGGGCUUAGCUAGUAGGUAGGGUAACGGCUCACCUAGGCGACGAUCCCUAGCUGGUCUGAGAGGAUGACCAGCCAAUCUGGGACUGAGACACGGCCCAGACUCCGACGGGAGGCAGCGGGGGGGAAUAGUGCAAAAUGGGCGCAAGCCUGAUGCAGCCAUGCCGCGUGUAUGAAGAAGGCCUUCGGGUUGUAAAGUACUUUCAGGGAGGAGGCGUUACUGGCAGAAGAAGCACCGGGUAACUCCGUGCCAGCAGCCGCGGUAAUUC